rnacentral:misc_RNA from 1 species
AGAUGUGCUUCCAUGAACUAUUUGAAAAUGUUUAGCUCAUAGUUUCUGAUGUUAUAUUACCUCAUGUGAAAUAUGUUUCACAUGUAAUUAUUUGUGAAUAAAUUAGGCAAUAAAAAGCUUAUAGAAUUAGAUCUGUUUUCUUUGAUAUCACAUAAAAUGUGAAUCUAGAAUUUAUGCUUGACAUGCCUUGAGAACUGUAUGUUGCAAAUUCUAUAAUGUUUAAAUUCUUUUGCCAAUUGAGGAACUUCAUCUUGCUAGUUCGAGUUAUUCUUGCCUACAUCCGGUUCGUACUGGAUCAAAAUAUAAAGAAAUGGGUUCCAUGCAAAAUUAGUGAUUCUUACAUGCAAUAUAUUACUUGAUAUGCCUCUUGGUCUGUAAAGGCCAGGUCUUGGGAUUGAUGGCUUUACUAGCAGGAGUGCACAUAUAAACAGCUUGUUCAGAUGCAUGCAAUGCCUUCAUAAUUGUCCUGAAACUGAAACAGAGUCUUUAGAAAGGUGAAUUCUGAUAUUGUUUGAGCUUAAAGAUUUACAUGGUUAAUCCUUUGCCUACUUUUAUUACUAUGCGUAUGUUAUUGUAUGAUGGACUCUCCCAUGGACUUUCAUGUGUAUUGCUGCUGCUGUCAAGUGAAUCUCCCAAUUCACACCUUUCAUGCCAGUAGUCACUCAAUGUGAAUAGUGAUCAGAUGAAUCAUGACCCAUUAACAAAAGGUAUCCUUCUUAAUUUAUGAAAACAAAUGUCUUGUAGUUAGCAAUCAUCAGCAGCCUUAAAAGCCUUGCUACUCUUUGUUAUAGUUACACAUGCAUAGCAGCAAGAAAAUGGAGUCAGUGAUGACUAUAUAUUUAACAAAGAGCAUGUAAUAAUGUUUUUAAGGAAUGGAUGAAACAAUUGUUUAUUUGGUGGAGCAACUGCUCGAGUUGUAUUGAAUAUCUAAAAAUACUUGAUCCUUUACCAUUUCUAUCAGUCCGCAACCCACGAUGGUUUAAUUUGCUCUUCAUGUCCAGGAAUGAAUGCAACAAUUUUUUAUUUGGUAGAGCAACUACUUGAAUUGGAUUGAAUAUCCGAAAAAUACUCGAUCCUUUAUCAUCCCUACCCGUCCGAAAUCAAAGAUGGUUUCCACCUUAAACUUCAGAAUAAUUAUGUAAAAUCUCGUAUUAUGCCUGCCAAGGCGAACAUCUUAAUUCAGCAAGCUUGUUUUUGGCAAGAUAUAAAGUAGCUGGCCCUCUUGAACAACAUUUUCAAGUCUAAUACAUUUCUCUGAUUAAAUAAAACUAUUUUUG